rnacentral:rRNA from 1 species
UACGUAGGGGGCAAGCGUUGUCCAGAUUUAUUGGGCGUAAAGAGCGUGUAGGCGGCCAGACAGGUCCGUUGUGAAAACUCGAGGCUCAACCUCGAGACGCCGAUGGAAACCGUUUGGCUAGAGUCCGGAAGAGGAGAGUGGAAUUCCUGGUGUAGCGGUGAAAUGCGCAGAUAUCAGGAAGAACACCCGUGGCUAAGGCGGCUCCCUAGUACGGUACUGACGCUGAGACGCGAAAGCGUGGGGAGCGAACAGG